CGCGCGCCUCGCUCCGCCCGCCCCGAGCGCCUCCGGGCCGCAGACACGCUUCCGGCCCCGCCUGCAGUUAUGCCAUCUGGCUCAUAUAACCAGAAGAAACUUGGCACCCACGUUCAACUAGAAUGACCGUCAAUUCACAAAACAUCCUUAUUUUCUCUUGGCUAAGAACAAAGUGACAACUGAUCUCAAUGUGACCUUUGCCAGAGUAGAGAAGAAAGUUCGCAGGAGAGAAAUGUCACAGAGGCGGUGGCAUUUGAGACGAUCCUCAAUUGACUGAACUGCCAGACCACGUGUUGAUGCACUCCUAGAGCCCUGAACCACCAUUUAAGUCCAGCUGUCCUGAGGCCACCAUGUUGUGAGGAAGCCAAAGCUAACCACCUGGAGAGAUGCUGUGGAGAAUCAUGCCCAAACAGCACCCAGCUCUCCUUGCCAUCCUGGCCCAGGCAGCUAACCUGGGAGUGAAGAAUCCUUCACAUGAUGCUGAUCUCAGAAGCUAUCUGACUACAACUGUGUGGGUGACCCCAAUGAGAACUUCUCAGGGCAGGCCAAGCAGUAUCAGAUACCCCCACCCGUUGUUUCUGGGCUUAAGACCUGGCCUGAGGACAGAAAUCUGACUACUCUGAGACCACUGUGCUGUGAGGGAUAGCAACCAGUCCCAGACAUCCCGGCCUGGGCAGGCCAGGCACCUGACUCGAGUGAGGAAGCUGCAGGGCCCUCCGGCCUCAGGAGUCACGACGUGCAGAGGCUCGGGGAGCCCAGCUGACAGCCAGAACUGCUGCUCCAGACCUAGGGCCCCAGAGGGGCCAAGGUCCUAGCAACCCCACCACCACCACCACCACCACCACCACCACCAAAUGCAAUCAAAAUCGUUCGUUUUUUGUUGUCGUUCUUCUUUUUUCAACUGCACUUUCUCUACAAACGCGUCUCUUAAGAUAAAUUUCCUGGUCCCUACAUCUUCCCAGUUUGCUACCCUAAUCCCUUCUGAUAGGAAAAUUCUAGAGGCAGUGCAAGAUGGACUCCAUGCUGUGAGGAUAAAAAUGGAUUUGUCUCCACCCUAGGGCAAGAGAGUCAUCAUGAGGAAGGGAUCCUGCCCUAAAAUCUAUGAGCUCUGUUUCUAGGGGACAAACUUGGUUACAAAGACUUCUUUAAACUUUUCCCUGCUGUCAAGUUUAAUGAGACGACUCCUCCUACAGUGUUUCUAAUAUCAGCUUGAUUUCAGGAGGCUGCUGUCAAAAAGGCUACCAGAAGACACUGAGGGGAACACUUUAAAUCAUUGCAAGAAAAAGUUUCAACUUCAGUAAGCCAACUUGGCCAACGAUUCCAUUUUUUUUUUUCAAGGAUUUCAUUUUAAGAGUAAAACUGACACAUCCAAAAUGGACACAUCUUAAAAGCAACAAGAUAUCACACAAGUGAAACAAUAGAAGAAGCAAGGCAUGGAAUUUGGAGGUGGGGGUAAAGAGCAUCAGUAGGAUUGGGGAAAAACAACUGAAAGCAUUUAAUGUAUUUAUUUCUACUCACCUAGUUCUAAAGUGGAUUUGGCAGGGAUUUUAUUUCCGGGGCAAGUGUGGAGGGCAGCUCUUUCCUGAAACUAGUUAAGUGCAGAUUAAAUGAGGUUAUAGCCUUGGGAUCUGGGAGUCAAGCUGGCAUCUGCUGUAGAAAACCGGGAGUCUGAAUAGCUGUGGGCUAAGAUUUUACAUUUCCUAUAGCACUUAGACAAAUGCAACUGGAAGCAAACAGACCAUUAAGUGGCAAAGAAGUCUCCAGAAAGGCAAAAACAAAGUCCUGGGCUCUUAAAACCAUAGGCCCUUCCUAGAAUUUGUCCUAGAAAGUGCCUUGCUGUUUGUGGAGUUGUAAUCAACAGUGGACAUUUGGGGCCAGCACUGACUUGUCCAAUAAACACUAAGUGUCCUAACAGUAUGGUGAACUAACAUCUUUUAAAAUUUUUUUCCAGAGCAUCAUUUCAAAUAAAUUAACAUUCUCAAGUGGCUCACCAGGCAGAAAGAAAUCUGCAUGCUGUGAGAAGAGAGAAGGUAGGAGAAUAGUUUAGAGGGUGUAGUUUAGAGGGUGUAGAGGCCCCACUCAUGGGGCCCCUGAGUGUCUCUGAAAGAGACAGAUGGGAAAGGCACUGGAUACUUUACUUAAAUAUGAAUACCAGCGCUAUCAAAUGCUCCACUUCACUAAAAAAUGCUGAUUAUAAUUUUCUAAAGUCAGGAAUGAAAAAGAUUGUUCCACAUCAAAUCAGAUACAGUAAUAAUUCUUAACAUUUUUGUUCACAUAUGCUAUUGAGAAUAUGGUGAUAAGGGUAGACUCUCUGCCCAAAAAAAAAAAAAUGCAUUACACACAAAAUCCUAUUCUAUUCUAUACGACUAGUUAGGAUACUUGAGGUGGAAUCCAGUCAGUCACAACACACUUAUAAUAUAUAAUCCUAAUCACCUGACUGCCAUAAAAUCUUUCUUGCAUUUAAGCUAGUUUUAUUCUAUAGUUUAAGCCUCUCCACUUUUUCUGUCUUCUUAGCUUAAGAAAAGAUCAUUACAGAACUCUCUGUAUAAGUUUUCAUAUAUGCUUGCAAAAGGAUGUGAAAUUUUAUCAUGAUCCCUCUUGCUUUAGGCUGAAACUUCUCUAAUCUGUCCUUAUAGAUUAUAGCAUAGAGUUCUGGUUACCAUUGAAUACCCAGUUAUCCCCUCUGCAUUAGUUACUCAGCUAUAUGAUUACAUUUUUCUGAGCCUUUCUUGCAGCUACAUGGGGCCAUUUGACUAAGCUUUAAGUCAAUGAUAUGUAAGUUCUAUGCUAUGUGCAUCUUCUUGAAAAUCUCCGUACCCUUCCUCUACCCUGAUGUCUGCAAUGAAGAUUUAAUAGUCAUUCUGGGCCAUGGAUUUGAGGUGUGAUGGACAACGCUACCUGUUGACUACCUUAUUGGAAGAGAAAUUUCAUGAGAACCUUGUUUGUUUUGAUCAAAACAACAUCUUCAGCACCUAAAAAGUGUGUGGCCUGUGGUAACGGCUUACCUAUUGAACAGGUAUUGAAUUAAAAUAUGAGUUUAAAACUCAUGUAAAACUCUAAUUACAAAGCCCUCCUGGGGUGCCUGCAUUGCUCAGUUGGUUAAGCAUCUGCUUUCAGCUCAGGUCAUGAUCUUGGGAUCCUGGGGUUGAGCUCCACAUGGAGCUCCUUGCUUCAUGCUUCUUCUCCCUCUGCCGUUCCCCCUGCUUGUGCUCUCUCACUCUUUCUCUCUCAAAUAAAUAAAUAAAAUAAAAUUUUAAAAAGUCAGGACACCUGGGUGGCUCAGCAGUUAAGUGUCUGU